ACGCUCGACACCUACGGGGGGCAGCAGUGGGGAAUAUUGCACAAUGGGGGAAACCCUGAUGCAGCGACGCCGCGUGAAGGAAGAAGUAUCUCGGUAUGUAAACUUCUAUCAGCAGGGAAGAAAAUGACGGUACCUGACUAAGAAGCCCCGGCUAACUACGUGCCAGCAGCCGCGGUAAUCUGAGCGGGCUGGCAAGGC
rnacentral:rRNA from 1 species